rnacentral:tRNA from 1 species
AGCCCGCGUGGUGUAACUAACACGCUAAGUUGUAAACUUAGAGUUAUUUUUAUCGGGGUUA